rnacentral:rRNA from 1 species
GACGAACGCUGGCGGCGCGCUUAACACAUGCAAGUCGAACGGAAAGGCCCUGCUUUUGUGGGGUGCUCGAGUGGCGAACGGGUGAGUAACACGUGAGUAACCUGCCCUUGACUUUGGGAUAACUUCAGGAAACUGGGGCUAAUACCGGAUAGGAGCUCCUGCUGCAUGGUGGGGGUUGGAAAGUUUCGGCGGUUGGGGAUGGACUCGCGGCUUAUCAGCUUGUUGGUGGGGUAGUGGCUUACCAAGGCUUUGACGGGUAGCCGGCCUGAGAGGGUGACCGGCCACAUUGGGACUGAGAUACGGCCCAGACUCCUACGGGAGGCAGCAGUGGGGAAUACUGCACAAUGGGCGGAAGCCUGAUGCAGCAACGCCGCGUGCGGGAUGACGGCCUUCGGGUUGUAAACCGCUUUCGCCUGUGACGAAGCGUGAGUGACGGUAAUGGGUAAAGAAGCACCGGCUAACUACGUG